GCAACACAAAUCUGUCCAUCUCAACAGAAUCCUCAUCACUGGACUGGAUUAGAAAACAUAUUGUAUAAAUUCAACUUCCCUGAUUGCUACCAUGACUCCCUAGGAGGUUUCAUAUAGACAUUAACACUGGCGAGUGAAGUAAAACUUUGCAGCAACCUGCUUAAAACCUGUGAAGGACCGCAGUGAAACCUCCCUAUUGAAAAGUCUUCUCAUAAGCUUCCUUUCACGAGGAUGUAUUCGAUUGCAACUUCCUUCAGCUACAUACUUUUCCAACUCAUCUGAGGAGUAAAACGAUGAGAAAUGGAGAUGAUCAACAUCACUUUCAUCCUGUACAGUACACAAUCAACUCCCACCAGCUGCUAAAGUAUAGAUCACUACUCUCCUGAUAAGCUCAGCUCCAUCAUAUUCAAGAAAUAAUAUCACAAUUCCUUAUGAACACCUGUUCCUUUUGUGUGAAGAAAGAAAGAAAGGAUGAAAGGAAGGAAAAAGAGAAGGAAAAGGAACCCCACAAACUUUGUAUUCAUGUCCAUAGGCUAAACCCUAUGAGUUUAACAAUUAUAUUACAUUCUGUCACAACAACAACA